AAGAUCUAUUUGAGAGAAUUGCCCUACAAUAUAAGAAAAAAUAAAUAAUAAAUAAAUAUACAAUAUGAGAAAAGAAAAACUAUAUCAAACAUUUAUCAGAAAGAUGUAUCGUUUUCUAAUUUUUUCUAAGGAAAUAUAUAUUCACAUAAACAUACAAUUGAGAAUUUGUUGUUGUUCAUAAUACAACGUUCAAAAAAAUAACUACAUGGUUAACAUUUGAAAAUAAAAAUAGCCCUGCGCGUAGCGCGGAUUAACUUCUAGUCUUUAUAUAUAUAAUACAGUUUACUCUUUCCUAAGGCAUGCCACAUGGGAUUCCAUGUCAUCAAUUAGGUGCAGAAGAGCGCGACACGUGUCACUUAAACUAAACGCUGAGUUUCAUUUAUUCUGGUGUCUAUUCCGUUUGGGCUUUAGUGUGUAUUCGGGCUAAAUGAAACCCAACCCGGAUAAAGAGUAACUCCAGUUGUUAUGGAAACGCGUUGUUUCUGAUUUAGGGUUCAACACGUUCUUCAUCGAGAGCUAAGCUCAACCUAAGGUUUCCAUGGCGUUGUUUCAUCUUCUUCCUAACAAUCCGAAGAGCUAUCAGUUACAGAUUCAUCCUCUUAAAUCCACCAUCCACGUUCUACAUGUUCUUUCAUCUUCUUCCUAACAAUCCCAAAAGCUAUACAGAUUCAUCCUCUUAAAUCCACCAUCCACGAUCUACCUUGAAUGUGAUCUUCACGCAAGGCCGUGGAACCUUGACUAUAAAAAGACCGGACGCAUACGACACAGUAGGAGGAGGAAAGCGGUAGCAAUGGAGGAGAGGAGGAUCAAGGAAAUGAAGGACCAGCCGUGUCCGGUUUGAAUCCGGUUGUUAUUGUAAUUUUCCCGUCCUUUAAAACUCAUGUUCAUCAUUAUUUUGAACACACAUGGUGAUUAGAUUCAUAUUUAUCAAAAUUAUUCUUUUUGUAUCAUAUAUUUCCUCUUUGCAAUAUGAUUUGAAUCUGUUGUUUAUUAUUAUUUUUCUCGUUCCAGUGUUCAUUGUCUUCCCAUUUACAAGCGACUGGGUUAUAUGUUUUACUUAAAACUCUCGGGUUCACUUAAAACUUCAUUAUAUUCAGCUCCAUGUGCCUGUCAAGUUCUUUCUUUUGUUUAAGGCGGAGACCGCCGAAGGUGCAGAGAUGUAUAAGGUCAUCAAAGAGACUACUAAUCACCGUAGGGUGAAGUUCACAGAUUUAUAAUGUGGUCUGGUGGGUGCUCUGUAGAGUUGUGUUGUAUCAGCUGAAGUUUAGCUGCUUGGUGGAGCUUCUUUGGGUGUGAUAAAGCUGUGAGAUCUAGAAGAAACAAAGAGUUAGUUGAUAAAUUUCAUGUGCUCCUUUUGAAGAGUUGUUUCUCCUUAUUGUCAAAUGUGGAUUAUGGGUAUUUCUUUCGUACAUAUCUAUCAUUUACUUUAAAUUAAUGAGGUCCACCAUUUUGAAUCUUGCUUUUGCAGUGCGUUGGUUAAAGAUUUUGUUGUAAGCUUGCAAACCACUAUUGCAACUAAACUAUAGAGGAUAUGAAAUAUGGCCAGGACGAGCAACAAAAUGUUAAGUUGGUGCAAUCCUUUCAAAGUUAACAUGGUAACAUGGAGAGAGUAGCUUUUGAAGGAACACAGAUCAUGAUAACGUAUGUUUCUCCAAAUGUGAUUUAAUAAGGAAAUGAAUCCCAUAAUCGAUUACCAAUUAUAUUAUUUUUUUUAAAACCCAAAUCAAGCUUUGACAAAAUAACAAUCGUCACCUACUAGCUUUGAUUUUCUCUAAGGCCUUAAGAUGGCAGUUUUUCUGCUUCUUCCAUAACCACUAAGAAGAAAAUAUGAAAGGUUCAUCAGCAUUGACUCUUUGAACAAGAAAAAGAGGAAAGUUAAUUAUAAAGGACAUUGGCGAGUCUUUAAAGAACCUUUCAAGGAGAUCCUGUUUAUCAACCUAUGUAUUGGCCAAUUCCAUGACGGUUAUCCACCUAGAAAUUUCUGAUCAUCACUGAAUCACUGUUUCUCAUAUGGCUUUUCGCCAUAGCUUAAGAAAAAAAAAUUAGCAAAUAAAUAAAAUUUUAGUGAAAAGUAAUCCAAACUAUAUAUAUAACAUGCAAAAAAAAAAAUUAAAAAAUUUAAAAAAAGUUAUAA